GUCCGGGUGGUGGAAUUGGUAGACACGCUACUUUGAGGGGGUAGUGCCUUAACAGGUGUAGGGGUUCGACUCCCCUCUCGGACACC
rnacentral:tRNA from 1 species